rnacentral:rRNA from 1 species
UGGGGAAUAUUGCACAAUGGGCGCAAGCCUGAUGCAGCCAUGCCGCGUGUGUGAAGAAGGCAUUCGGGUUGUAAAGCACUUUCAGCGGGGAGGAAGGCGAUAAGGUUAAUAACCUUGUCGAUUGAUGUUACCCGCAGAAGAAGCACCGGCUAACUCCGUGCCAGCAGCUGCGGUAAUACGGAGGAUGCAAGCGUUAAUCGGAAUUACUGGGCGUAAAGCGCACGCAGGCGGUCUGUCAAGUCGGAUGUGAAAUCCCCGGGCUCAACAUGGGAACUGCAUUCGAAACUGGCAGGCUAGAGUAUUGUAGAGGGGGGUAGAAUUACAGGUGUAGCGGUGAAAUGCGUAGUGAUCUGGAGGAAUACCAGUGGAGAAGGCGGCCCCCUGGACAAAGACUGACGCUCAUGUGCGAAAGCGUGGGGAGCAAACAGG